rnacentral:piRNA from 1 species
UUUUCAAAUUAAUUUGACUUA